AUACGUAGGAACCAAGCGUUGUCCGGAAUUACUGGGUGUAAAGGGUGCGCAGGCGGAUUUGUGCGUCAAGGGUUAAAUACCUCGGCUCAACCGAGGAAAUGCCUUUGAUACGGCAAGUCUUGAGUACGAGAGAGGAUGGUAGAAUUCCUGGUGUAGCGGUGAAAUGCGUAGAUAUCAGGAGGAAUACCCGUGGCGAAGGCGGCCAUCUGGCUCGUUACUGACGCUCAGGCACGAAAGCGUGGGGAGCAAACAGGAUUAGAAACCCCGGUAGUCC
rnacentral:rRNA from 1 species